CCACUGCCACUACACUAGUCUGUAAUCCCUUUACCUGAAGUAUAUGCAAUAACAUCAACUGAUUUCAUUGUCCAUAGUCUGGGGAUUCUUAACCCAGUUUCCAUAAAAUAAUCUAUUGAUGGGAUUCAGGGAUUCUUCAAAUCCCUUAAAAUAGUUUGCAAGAUUUAGUAUUUCUGUAUGUAUGUAUGUGUUUUGCUGUUGAGCAGUUGUAUAGCUUUCAUCUUGCAAAGGUGUCAAAGACACAAAAAAGGUUGAGAAUCCCUGUUCUAGUCACUCCUGAUCUAAUUAAUCUUAUAUAUUAUUUCCAAGGUAAUUGUUGUAAAAUCUUCAUUAGCAAUUUAUUAAAAAUUCUUAUUAUGGAUCUGUGUUUCAUUUCCCUCCUCUUUGAUUUUCAAAAGUUGUAGUUUCUCUUAUAGCACUGAGUGGGAGGAAACAGACAGGAAGUUCAUAUAGGCUUUCCGGAGUUCAUGACCCCUUAGCUAAACAUGUAAGAGUCAGUUAAGCAGAAAAGGAGGUUUCCAAAAUAGAAGGAACAGCGUGAGCUGCUGUUGGGAGAAGUGAAAUAGCAUCCUGCUUGCCUUAAAUAAUAGUUUAGCAUUGAAUGAGCCAAACAUUGUAAUACCCUUUCAUUCUAAACCCAGUAUAUGGUUUUAGACAUGUAUCACCAGUAUAUCACACAGUUCUAUCUAUGCUUCAGAUAUUCUAGAUCUCUCUAUUCCCCAAAUUAUCCUAGAGCUUUCACACUUCAGUUGCUUUGUUCAUUCUUUUUACUUGGCCUUGAAUUCUGCUUCCAAUCAGGCAAAGCAGAGAAUGUAAGAUGGUGAGAAGAGUAGGGACCAGACUUGGGGUAUCUGGAAGAAGUGGCCAUUUAGAGCCAAUGUGUACUUUGUCCGGAUGGUGAGAUUUGGAAUAAGCCUGUGAGUCAGGACCAAGCAAUCAAAGCCAGAGUCAGGACAUAUAUAUUCAAAUAAUAAGGGUAAUGACAACCAUCAAAUCAAAUAGUAAGCACUGAAGCAAGAAGGAAACCUGUUUUGGGCAGCAGCAGAGCUAUAAGGUAGAAAGCCAGUGUCAGGAACCAGGUAUCUUAGAGAACUGAAAGAGCAAUAAAAAUAGAGUGGAGAAUGAAUUUCUGCUAGGCACCAGCAGCAGUGGUUGAUAACUUGACUAUAUGGCUCUCAGCUUAGGCCUUGAGUGUGCUUAUGUAUUUCCUGUUGUGGCAGGAGCCAUACCUAGUGUUCACAGCCUGGGACUUGCAGGUGGAAGCAGGUAAUCAGGAGCAUUUUGCUCAGAUGGAAUGUAUGGGCAUGAGGGAAACAAUUGCUUUUGGCAGUGAAAUCCUAACAGCUUGGCUACAUUUAACAGAGGAUGCUUUAAGUGUUUGUUGAAACAAUUAUUCAAUUUUAUAACACAUUUGCUGUUGUGAAGCUCAAAAUUAUAUGAUUUUUCUUACAUUUUUUAAUUAUUUAGAAUAAGUAAAGAUGUAACUGGUCUUCUUUUUUUCUUCCUUUCUUUAGAACAUGCCAGAUCCCCACAACCUUCCAAUAGUGGCUGGUUGGAAGAAAUACCCACUCUUUUUUGGUACUGCUGUAUUUGCUUUUGAAGGCAUAGGAGUGGUCCUUCCACUGGAAAACCAAAUGAAAGAAUCAAAGCGUUUCCCUCAAGCGUUGAAUAUUGGCAUGGGGAUUGUUACAACUUUGUAUGUAACAUUAGCUACUUUAGGAUAUAUGUGUUUCCAUGAUGAAAUCAAAGGCAGCAUAACUUUAAAUCUUCCCCAAGAUGUAUGGUUAUAUCAAUCAGUGAAAAUUCUAUAUUCCUUUGGCAUUUUUGUGACAUAUUCAAUUCAGUUCUAUGUUCCAGCAGAGAUCAUUAUCCCUGGGAUCACAUCCAAAUUUCAUACUAAAUGGAAGCAAAUCUGUGAAUUUGGGAUAAGAUCCUUCUUGGUUAGUAUUACUUGUAAGUAUCAUUAUAUAUUUAUAUCAUAAUAAUUUUUUAUUGUUCAAUUUCUUGAAAGCUAUAUAAGAUGUAAUUUCUUAAAAUGAAAGCUACAUAAGAUGUAUUUUUCAAUAUUUUUAAAACAAUUUUAUUCACCCAGCUGGG
rnacentral:lncRNA from 1 species